UACGUAGGCAGCGAGCGUUGUUCGGAGUUACUGGGCGUAAAGAGUGCGUAGGCGGUGUUCCAAGUCUGUUGUGAAAUCUCCCGGCUCAACUGGGAGGGUGCGGCGGAAACUGGGACGCUGGAGUACGGGAGAGGUAAGCGGAAUUCCUGGUGUAGCGGUGAAAUGCGUAGAUAUCAGGAGGAACACCUGCGGUGUAGACGGCUUACUGGACCGCAACUGACGCUGAGGCACGAAAGCGUGGGUAGCAAACAGG
rnacentral:rRNA from 1 species